rnacentral:lncRNA from 1 species
GAGUGCAAGUAGAUGGAGGAUCUAGUAUAAAUCUUAUGAAUGUCGUUGUCAUAUUAUGUGAAGUCUUGCUUGAGAAUGCACCGAGCACUUGGCAGUGGAAGGUAAAAAAAAAUUGCAACAAAAGGUCCUAAUAAUUCAAUAGGAUUAUAGAGAAUUUACAAUUAAACAUUAAUAAUCAUAAUCAAACAUUAAGCAAGCUCAAUUAAAUUUUAUUAAAGUUAUAAAAGAAACACAAGAAAAUCUUAAAGAAAUAUAAAAGAAUAUUAAAGAAAACUUAGUCAAACCCUAACAAAAAUCUAAUAGAACCUUAAAUUCUAACCAAAUUCUAAUCCUAAU